GGAGGGCUAAUACCUCAUAAGACCACGUUUCACAAGGGAUGUGGUUAAAGAUGGCCUAUCCAUGGAAGCUGUCACCCUGGGAAAGGCCUGCGUACCAUUAGCUAGUUGGUAGGGUAAUGGCCUACCAAGGCUACGAUGGUUAGCUGAUCUGAGAGGACGAUCAGCCACACUGGAACUGAGAUACGGUCCAGACUCCUACGGGAGGCAGCAGUGGGGAAUCUUGCGCAAUGGGGGAAACCCUGACGCAGCAACGCCGCGUGAGUGAUGAAGGCCUUCGGGUCGUAAAGCUCUGUCGGAGGGGACGAAAAAACCCGGGUGAAUAGCCUGGGUGAAUGACGGUACCCUUAGAGGAAGCACCGGCUAACUCCGUGCCAGCAGCCGCGGUAAGACGGAGGGUGCAAGCGUUGGUCGGAAUUACUGGGCGUAAAGGGCGUGUAGGCGGUCAGAUAAGUCAGAUGUGAAAUCCCUGGGCUCAACCCAGGAAUUGCAUUUGAAACUGCUUGACUUGAGUACGGGAGAGGAGAGUGGAAUUCCCGGUGUAGAGGUGAAAUUCGUAGAUAUCGGGAGGAACACCAGUGGCGAAGGCGGCUCUCUGGACCGAUACUGACGCUGAGACGCGAAGGCGUGGGGAGCAAACAGGAUUAGAGACCCUGGUAGUCCACGCUGUAAACGGUGUGCACUAGGUGUAGAGGGUAUCGACCCCUUCUGUGCCGAAGCUAACGCAUUAAGUGCACCGCCUGGGGAGUACGGUCGCAAGAUUAAAACUCAAAGGAGUUGACGGGGGCCCGCACAAGCGGUGGAGCAUGUGGUUUAAUUCGACGCAACGCGAAGAACCUUACCUGGGCUUGACAUCCCUGGAACUCUGCGGAAACGCGGAGGUGCCCUUCGGGGAACCAGGAGACAGGUGCUGCAUGGCUGUCGUCAGCUCGUGUCGUGAGAUGUUGGGUUAAGUCCCGCAACGAGCGCAACCCUCAUCUCUAGUUGCCAGCAUUCAGUUGGGCACUCUAGAGAAACUGCCCCGGAUAACGGGGAGGAAGGUGGGGACGACGUCAAGUCCUCAUGGCCUUUAUGCCCAGGGCUACACACGUGCUACAAUGGCUGGUACAAAGGGACGCGAACCUGCGAGGGGGAGCAAAUCCCAGAAAGCCGGUCUCAGUCCAGAUUGGAGUCUGCAACUCGACUCCAUGAAGUUGGAAUCGCUAGUGAUCGUGGAUCAGCAUGCCACGGUGAAUACGUUCCCGGGCCUUGUACACACCGCCCGUCACACCACGAAAGUUGGCUGCACCAGAAAUCACUGGGCUAACCCGCAAGGGAGGCAGGUGCCUAAGGUGCGGUCAAUGAUUGGGGUGAAGUCGUAACAAGGUA
rnacentral:rRNA from 1 species